rnacentral:rRNA from 2 species
AAAUUGAAGAGUUUGAUCAUGGCUCAGAUUGAACGCUGGCGGCAGGCCUAACACAUGCAAGUCGAACGGUAACAGGAAGCAGCUUGCUGCUUCGCUGACGAGUGGCGGACGGGUGAGUAAUGUCUGGGAAACUGCCUGAUGGAGGGGGAUAACUACUGGAAACGGUGGCUAAUACCGCAUAAUGUCGCAGGACCAAAGAGGGGGACCUUCGGGCCUCUUGCCAUCAGAUGUGCCCAGAUGGGAUUAGCUUGUUGGUGAGGUAACGGCUCACCAAGGCGACGAUCCCUAGCUGGUCUGAGAGGAUGACCAGCCACACUGGAACUGAGACACGGUCCAGACUCCUACGGGAGGCAGCAGUGGGGAAUAUUGCACAAUGGGCGCAAGCCUGAUGCAGCCAUGCCGCGUGUAUGAAGAAGGCCUUCGGGUUGUAAAGUACUUUCAGCGGGGAGGAAGGUGUUGUGGUUAAUAACCGCAGCAAUUGACGUUACCCGCAGAAGAAGCACCGGCUAACUCCGUGCCAGCAGCCGCGGUAAUACGGAGGGUGCAAGCGUUAAUCGGAAUUACUGGGCGUAAAGCGCACGCAGGCGGUCUGUCAAGUCGGAUGUGAAAUCCCCGGGCUCAACCUGGGAACUGCAUUCGAAACUGGCAGGCUGGAGUCUUGUAGAGGGGGG